GGUGCAGCGGCUUCAGUUUGCCGGGAUUAUAUGGGAAACUUUCUUGGCUCAUCGGCAAUGGUUUUUAGGGGUAUUACAGACCCAGCGAUGCUAGAGGCGCUUGUAUGCCGUGAAGCUUUGGCUCCUGCACUCGAUUUAUCUCUAACUAGAGUGGUCAUCGCAUGUGAUUGCAAGGCAGUUUUGCAAGAGAUCAAGACUGGUACGGAGGGACGAUAUAGUACAAUAAUUAAGGAGAUCGUAGAACGAUCCAAGGAAUUCAUGAGUUGCGAGAUCAUUUUUUAAGGACGUAGUUUAAAUUUUGAUGCACAUAAUUUAGCUAAGUUUUCUUCUUCUUUACACGCGGGUCGCCAUUUGUGGCUUGUUUCACCCCACGACCCUUUUGUCAUCCCUGUAAACCGCACUUCGAGUUAA
rnacentral:rRNA from 1 species